GGAACUUUUACCCAAAUUUGAAAGUAAUGCAACUUCAAGAUCUUAAACUUAAAAAUAAAUGGGUUCUAAUGGCAGUUUCAAAAGGAGGAACUACAGAGGGUAUACCUGAGGAAUUAUCGGAGACAGAGGUGGUUGGUGCUGGGAAAAAGACCGGCAGGACAUCAAAACAAGCUCCAGUUUUGUCUAGGCGAAAGAAAGUAGUUGAGUUUUCAAAUGAUGAGGAAGCGGAAAAUACUUCAGGGUCAAUUGAAGAACCCAAAAAAACCCAGAGACGAACCCGAAAGAAAAAAGACACAGUGGAGAGUUCGAUUGGUGAUUCCAUAUCCGAUGUGGAGGGUAAUGUCACUGAUGAAGACGCUGUAACAGAGCCAGAAUCAAGUGGGAAGCCCAAGAAAACCCGAAGAACCCGGAAGAAAAAAGAGAUAAAGGAGAGCUCAUUUGAGGAUUCCGUGUUAGGUGUGGAGGGCAAUGUGACAGAUGAGGAAGGCUCACCAACUUCAAGGUCAAGUGAAGAGCCUGUAGAAAAAAGAAAACGAACUGCAAAGAAAGCUGCUUCUAGCUCUAGUAGCUUGGAGAAAGAACCAACGCAAAAGGCCACAAGGGGGA
rnacentral:misc_RNA from 1 species